GACGUAGGGCGCGAGCGUUGUCCGGAUUUAUUGGGCGUAAAGAGCUCGUAGGCGGUGUGUCGCGUCGGCCGUGGAAACCUGCAGCUUAACUGUGGGCUUGCGGUCGAUACGGGCAUCACUGGAGUUCGGCAGGGGAGACUGGAAUUCCUGGUGUAGCGGUGAAAUGCGCAGAUAUCAGGAGGAACACCGGUGGCGAAGGCGGGUCUCUGGGCCGAUACUGACGCUGAGGAGCGAAAGCGUGGGGAGCGAACAGG
rnacentral:rRNA from 1 species